GUCAUUAUCCGCUCGCAAGGCGAGGAGGUGCCCCACGGCUUCACCUGCAUCGAGACCACGACCUCUGGCCACCCUGUGGACCUCAAUGCUGGGCUGCUCAACAACCCCCAGAUGUACAUAUGUUACAAGCGGGGCCGGGACAAGCUGCCCCUCAUCGAGCUGGGGUGAGUCCCGGGGGCCACCACAGCUUCCCCCGUGCCUGGCUCCCCAUUGCCCCCACAGCAGCCCAUGGGGGCCGACCUCCCCGGGUGCCCAUCUCAUCUUUCCUCUGCACCCAGGGUGCACUAUGAGGGCAAGGACCGCCCGAAGCCAGGCUACAAGAUCUUGGACACGACGCCAUNNNNNNNNNNNNNNNNNNNNNNNNNNNNNCACGCCCCCUUCCUCAUGUACCGGAGGGCGGCCGAGUCGCAGGGCCACAACACGCUGGGCGUCACCGACAUCUGCCUCGUCAUGCCGAGCAAGGGCGAGAGCACCCCUCACACCUUCUGCCGGGUGGACAAGAACCUCAACACCAGCAUGUGGGGCCCGGCGCUGUUCCUGUGCUACAAGAUCGCAAUGGCCAAGGCCAACACGCUGGUGUACGAAGCAGGUAGGGUCCUGGCGGUGGCACGUCCCUGCUCAGGGGGUUUUUGCUCUUGGGAGCCACUGGGGCUGGGCAGAGGGGUUGAGGGCUUGUCUCAGACCUGUAGCUGAUGCCUUGCUGUGCUGCUGCGUUGCUGUAUCCCCAAGCAACCCUUUGAGGGCGAUGGACCGUCCUUCCCAGCUCUGCUGGCAGCUCUCAUCCUGCCCCAGCUGCCCUGGGUUUGACGGGCUCCAGCACACCAACCUGCUCUCUUCCCAGGGCUUCUGGGCCGCUACCCUGAGCAGGACAGUGAGUCCUUCCCUCUCCCU
rnacentral:lncRNA from 1 species